rnacentral:misc_RNA from 1 species
GAUGAAGAACGUAGUGAAACGCGAUAGUUAAUGUGAAUUGCAGAAUUCAGUGAAUCAUCGAGUCUUUGAACGCACAUUGCGCCCCCUGGUAUUCCGGGGGGCAUGCCUGUCCGAGCGUCAUUGCUGCCCAUCAAGCGCGGCUUGUGUGUUGGGCCGCCGUCCGCCUUCCCCCCCGGGGGGAGGGGGACGGGCCCGAAAGGCAGCGGCGGCACCGCGUCCGGUCCUCGAGCGUAUGGGGCUCUGUCACCCGCUCUGGAGGCCCGGCCGGCGCCCGCCGACCCCCAACCUUCUUCUAACCAGGUUGACCUCGGAUCAGGUAGGGAUACCCGCUGAACUUAAGCAUAUCAAUAAGCGGAGGA